UGUUAUCAUCAACAAGGAGAGGGAACCGGUCGGCACUCGUAUCUUUGGUCCGGUUGCCCGGGAAUUGCGUGAACGGAAUUUCAUGAGAAUCGUCUCUUUAGCACCAGAAGUUUUAUAGAGGUCCUACUAUGCCCAGAAAGUACAAUAAACAGAAUAAGCU
rnacentral:misc_RNA from 1 species